rnacentral:rRNA from 1 species
UACGAAGGGGGCUAGCGUUGCUCGGAAUUACUGGGCGUAAAGAGCGCGCAGGCGGUCGUACAAGUCGCGUGUGAAAGCCCCCGGCUCAACUGGGGAGGGUCACGCGAUACUGUUCGACUCGAAGGCAGGAGAGGGAAGCGGAAUUCCCGGUGUAGUGGUGAAAUGCGUAGAUAUCGGGAGGAACACCAGUGGCGAAGGCGGCUUCCUGGCCUGUUCUUGACGCUGAGGCGCGAAAGCUAGGGUAGCAAACGGG